GAAACAUGAGACCAGAGAGAACCCAACCAGUAGGUCACAGUUUAUCAUCCCCCAGUCAUCUCCUGAAGUCCAUAUGAUCCACCAACCACUGGAACACAUCUCCAAAGUUCUGCUGGUCCAGCUCAGCUUCCCCUCAGAAGAAGUGGCGCCACCUGCCAGAUGAAGGAAACUUUUUAGAGGCAGCUGGCAUCGUGAUUGGACUGUACUUUGGUCUGUUCCAAUCCAGCUUCAGCUCCAGAGACGGCAGGCGGGACGAGUCAACGGAGGCCGGGUGGACGAAGGCAUGCAGCUGAGUACAAUCCAGAAAACAACAGAGGAGGAGGAAACAAACAUAGUAGCAU
ensembl:lncRNA